rnacentral:rRNA from 1 species
UACGAAGGGGGCUAGCGUUGCUCGGAAUCACUGGGCGUAAAGCGCACGUAGGCGGAUCUUUAAGUCAGGGGUGAAAUCCCAAGGCUCAACCUUGGAACUGCCUUUGAUACUGGCGAGCUUGAGUCCGGGAGAGGUGAGUGGAACUGCGAGUGUAGAGGUGAAAUUCGUAGAUAUUCGCAAGAACACCAGUGGCGAAGGCGGCUCACUGGCCCGGUACUGACGCUGAGGUGCGAAAGCGUGGGGAGCAAACAGG